rnacentral:misc_RNA from 1 species
UACCGAGGGUGCGAGCGUUAAUCGGAUCUACUGGGCGUAGCGUGUGCGUAGGUGGCUUUUUAAGUCGGAUGUGAAAUCCCCGAGCUUAACUUGGGAAUUGCAUUCGAUACUGGGAAGCUAGAGUAUGGGAGAGGAUGGUAGAAUUCCAGGUGUAGCGGUGAAAUGCGUAGGGAUCGGGAGGAAUACCGAUGGCGAAGGCAGCCAUCUGGCCUAAUACUGACGCUGAGGUACGAAAGCAUGGGGAGCAAACAGG